rnacentral:rRNA from 1 species
GACAGAGGGUGCAAACGUUGUUCGGAAUUACUGGGCGUAAAGCGCGUGUAGGCGGCCCAGCAAGUCGGAUGUGAAAGCCCUGGGCUUAACCUAGGAAGUGCAUUCGAAACUGCUGGGCUUGAGUUCUGGAGAGGAAGGCGGAAUUCUCGGUGUAGAGGUGAAAUUCGUAGAUAUCGAGAGGAACACCGGUGGCGAAGGCGGCCUUCUGGACAGUGACUGACGCUGAGACGGCGAAAAGCGUGGGGAGCAAACAGGG